CCAAGUUAAUAAGAGCGCACGGUGGAUGCCUUGGUAUCAGGAGCCGAUGAAGGACGUAGGAGCCUGCGAUAAACCUCGGGGAGUUGGCAACCGAACAUUGAUCCGGGGGUAUCCGAAUGGGGAAACCUAGCUGGGUGAGAACCCAGUUGCUGCCGUCUGAAUACAUAGGACGUCAGAGGGAACGUGGGGAAGUGAAACAUCUCAGUACCCACUGGAAGAGAAAUCAACCGAGAUUCCGUUAGUAGUGGCGAGCGAAAGCGGAAGAGCCUAAACCUCUCGUGUGUAAUAGCCGGUAGGCGUUGCACGAGUGGUGUUGUGGGGCCAAGCAGCCCGAUCUACCGAUCGGGCGAAGAGUAAGAAACUCAUUGCGUAGUCAAAGGUGUUGGAAAACACCGGCACAGAAGGUAAUACCCCUGUAGACGAAACGCAUUGAACUCUUGUUUGUAGCCCCAAGUAAUACGGAGCUCGAGAAAUUCCGUAUGAAUCCGGCGGGACCACCCGCCAAGGCUAAAUACUCCCUGAUAACCGAUAGCGGACAAGUACCGUGAGGGAAAGGUGAAAAGAACCCCGAGAGGGGAGUGAAAUAGAACCUGAAACCGUGUGCUUACAAGCCGUGGAAGCGUCGUCCACUUCGGUGGGCCGUGACCGCGUGCCUUUUGAAGAAUGAGCCUGCGAGUUAGUGGUAUGUGGCGAGGUUAACCCGCGAGGGGUAGCCGUAGCGAAAGCGAGUCCUAACUGGGCGAAUGAGUCGCAUGCCCUAGACCCGAAGCGAAGUGAUCUACCCAUGGGCAGGGUGAAGCGCCGGUAAGACGGCGUGGAGGCCCGAACCCACCAAUGUUGAAAAAUUGGGGGAUGAGCUGUGGGUAGGGGUGAAAGGCCAAUCAAACUCCGUGAUAGCUGGUUCUCCCCGAAAUGCAUUUAGGUGCAGCGUCACGUGUUUCUUGCUGGAGGUAGAGCACUGGAAGGCCUAGGGGCCCUACAAGGUUACUGACGUCUACCAAACUCCGAAUACCAGUAAGUAAAACGUGGCAGUGAGACUGCGGGGGAUAAGCUUCGUAGUCGAAAGGGAAACAGCCCAGAUCACCAACUAAGGCCCCCAAGCAUGUGCUAAGUGGAAAAGGAUGUGAAAUCGCAUUGACAACCAGGAGGUUGGCUUAGAAGCAGCUAUCCUUGAAAGAGUGCGUAAUAGCUCACUGGUCAAGUAAUUUCGCGCCGACAAUUUAACGGGGCUCAAGCACAUCGCCGAAGUUGUGGCAUGGACACAUGUACCUAGCACGCUGUAACAGGUGUGUUCAGGUGUGUCCUUGGGUAGGGGAGCGUCGUAUCGCGAGUGAAGCGGCAGUGAAAACUAGUCGUGGACGCGAUACGAGUGAGAAUGCAGGCAUGAGUAGCGAAUGACGGGUGAAAAACCCGUCCGCCGUAUGACCAAGGGUUCCAGGGUCAAGCUAAUCUGCCCUGGGUAAGUCGGGACCUAAGGCGAGGCCGAGAGGCGUAGUCGAUGGACAACGGGUUGAUAUUCCCGUACCGGCGUUGUUGCGACCGUGCUGAGCCCGGUAAUGCUAAGUAACCGAACCGAGACACCCUUCGGGGUGGCCUUGGGGAGUGUGCGAACCGAACCGGUAGUAGGCAAGCAAAGGGGUGACGCAGUAAGGCAGCCCAACCCGGGCGAUGGUCGACCCGGGGUAAGGACGUAGGCCGAGAUAUAGGCAAAUCCGUAUCUCAUUAAGGCCGAGAUCUGAUGCCGAGCCGAUUAAGGCGAAGUGGGUGAUCCUAAGCUGUCAAGAAAAGCCUCUAGCGAGUGACAAAGCCGCCCGUACCCCAAACCGACACAGGUGGUCAGGUAGAGAAUACCGAGGCGAUCGAGAGAACUGUGGUUAAGGAACUCGGCAAAAUGCCCCCGUAACUUCGGGAGAAGGGGGGCCAAAAGCUGUGAGGGGGUUUACCCCCCAAGCGGAGAUUGGCCGCAGAAACCAGGCUCAAGCGACUGUUUACUAAAAACACAGGUCCGUGCGAAGUUGUAAAACGAUGUAUACGGACUGACGCCUGCCCGGUGCUGGAACGUUAAGGGGACGGAUCAGCAGCUUCGGCUGCGAAGUUCAGAACUUAAGCGCCAGUAAACGGCGGUGGUAACUAUAACCAUCCUAAGGUAGCGAAAUUCCUUGUCGGGUAAGUUCC
rnacentral:rRNA from 1 species